GGGCAUGUUGUUUGGCAAUCAGUGAUUAAUGGGCCAGAUUUUUAAACAAGAUACUCUAAUGAUGAUUGUGGCCAAGUUUGGUUAAAUUUGACCUAGUAGUUCCAUAGGAGAACAUGUUUGUAAAAGUUAACAGACGAAGACGGAAAAAAGCUGCCGAGAUGAGAAAAGCCCACUUGACUCCCUUGGCUAGGAGAGCUAAAAAUCGACAAAGAAAAGAAAAAUAACAGUGCUUUGACAGGAGAAGCGUUUCCUGCCAAAGAGGGAUCAC
rnacentral:lncRNA from 1 species